rnacentral:rRNA from 1 species
CCUACGGGUGGCAGCAGUGGGGAAUAUUGGACAAUGGGGGCAACCCUGAUCCAGCCAUGCCGCGUGUGUGAAGAAGGCCCUCGGGUUGUAAAGCACUUUCAGUGAGGAAGAACGCCUGGUGGUUAAUACCCAUCAGGAAAGACAGCACUCACAGAAGAAGCACCGGCUAACUCCGUGCCAGCAGCCGCGGUAAUACGGAGGGUGCGAGCGUUAAUCGGAAUUACUGGGCGUAAAGCGCGCGUAGGUGGCUUGAUAAGCCGGUUGUGAAAGCCCCGGGCUCAAACUGGGAACGGCAUCCGGACCUGUCAAGCUAGAGUGCAGGAGAGGAAGGUAGAAUUCCCGGUGUAGCGGUGAAAUGCGUAGAGAUCGGGAGGAAUACCAGUGGCGAAGGCGGCCUUCUGGACUGACACUGACACUGAGGUGCGAAAGCGUGGGUAGCAAACAGGAUUAGAUACCCCAGUAGUC